rnacentral:rRNA from 1 species
CGGGUGAGUAACGGCGUGGGUAACCUGCCGUCAUACAGGGGGAUAACAGUUUAGAAAUGACUGCUAACACCGCAAUAAGUAUAGCGAAACCGCAUGAUUUUUGCUAUCAAAUAUUUAUAGGUAUGAGAUGGGCCCGCGUACUGAUUAGCUAGUUGGUGGGUAAAAGCCUACCAAGGCGACGAUCAGUAGCCGGCUUGAGAGAGUGACCGGCCACAUUGGGACUGAGACACGGCCCAAACUCCGUAACGGGAGGCAGCAGUGGGGAAUAUUGGACAAUGGGGGAAACCCUGAUCCAGCGACGACCCGGCGUGAGUGAAGAAGUAUUUCGGUAUGUAAAGCUCUAUCAGCAGGGAAGAUAAUGACAGUACCUGACUAAGAAGCCCCGGCUAACUACGUGCCAGCAGCAGC